rnacentral:rRNA from 1 species
GGAGGGGGGCAAGCGUUGUUCGGAAUUACUGGGGCGUAAAGGGCGCGUAGGGCGGAAGAUCAAGUCAGGGGUGAAAGGCCUGGGCUCAACCCGGGAACUGCCCUUUGAAACUGGUUUUCUAGAGUACGGGAGAGGAUGGCGGAAUUCCCAGUGUAGAGGUGAAAUUCGUAGAUAUUGGGAAGAACACCGGUGGCGAAGGCGGCCAUCUGGCCCGGUACUGACGCUAAGGCGCGAAAGCGUGGGGAGCAAACAGGAUUAGAUACCCUGGUAGUCCACGCCGUAAACGAUGUGUGCUAGCCGUUGGGGCUUCAGGUCUCGGUGGCGCAGCUAACGCGUUAAGCACACCGCCUGGGGAGUACGGCCGCAAGGUUA